UACGUAGGGACCAAGCGUUGUUCGGAUUUACUGGGCGUAAAGGGCGCGUAGGCGGCGCGGUAAGUCACUUGUGAAAUCUCUGAGCUUAACUCAGAACGGCCAAGUGAUACUGCAGUGCUAGAGUGUGGAAGGGGCAAUCGGAAUUCUUGGUGUAGCGGUGAAAUGCGUAGAUAUCAAGAGGAACACCUGAGGUGAAGACGGGUUGCUGGGCCAACACUGACGCUGGUGCGCGAAAGCCAGGGGAGCAAACGGG
rnacentral:rRNA from 1 species